rfam:Chamaesiphon minutus PCC 6605, complete genome.
GUGCGAUUAGCUUAGUGGUAAAGCAGCCGAGGUAUCGGUCGAGCCUGGGUUCGAGUCCCAGAUCGCACA